AAUCCAGGAGAGCACAGAGCUCUGCACACCCGCAUGCCCACUCAGCACCCCCAAGUCCCGGGCGGAGAACGGCCAGGGUACCAAGGCCUGGGACAGGGACGCGGCCGCCGAGGAAGACUUUCCCGCAGCCUCCACAAGCCAGCCGCCCCCGUCGCCACGGGCUCCCUCCCACGCGUGGAAGCCAAGCAGAAGCAGAGGCGGGGGGUGCGUUUUUUUUUUCCUUUUCUAACUUCUUU
rnacentral:lncRNA from 10 species